rnacentral:misc_RNA from 1 species
AUGAGUGAUGGGCUCCGGCCCGACCUCCAACCCUUUGUCUUACCGACCAUGUUGCCUCGGGGGUGACCCUGCCUUCGUGCUUGGCCCCCCCGGUGGACCACUAAACUCUGCGUCACCUUUGCGUCUGAGUGAUUAUUUUAAUAAAUCA